CAUGUAGGCGGAUUAAUAAGUUUGAAGUGAAAUCCUAUAGCUUAACUAUAGAACUGCUUUGAAGACUGUUAAUCUAGAAUGUGGGAGAGGUAGAUGGAAUUUCUGGUGUAGGGUAAAAUCCGUAGAGAUCAGAAGGAAUACCGAUUGCGAAGGCGAUCUACUGGAACAUUAUUGACGCUGAGAUGCGAAAGCGUGGGGAGCAAACA
rnacentral:rRNA from 1 species